UACGAAGGGGACUAGCGUUGUUCGGAAUCACUGGGCGUAAAGCGCACGUAGGCGGAUUCGUAAGUCGGGUGUGAAAGCCCCGGGCUCAACCUGGGAAUUGCAUUCGAGACUGAAUAGCUAGGGUACGGUAGAGGGAAGCGGAAUUUCCGGUGUAGCGGUGAAAUGCGUAGAUAUCGGAAGGAACAUCAGUGGCGAAAGCGGCUUCCUGGACCAGUACCGACGUCAGGCACGAAAGCGUGGGGAGCAAACAGGA
rnacentral:rRNA from 1 species